GCCGGGGGACGGACUGGG
rnacentral:snRNA from 1 species